AAUGACUCUCGACAACAGAUAUCUUGGCUCUUGCAUUGAUGAAAAAUGUAGCGAAAUGUGAUACUUGGUGUGAAUUGCAGAAUCCCAUGACCAUUCGAGUCUUUGAACGAAAGUUAUGCCUAAAGCCAUUAGGCCAAGGGCGCGUUUGGUUGGGUGUCAUGCAACG
rnacentral:rRNA from 1 species